GGGAUGUUCCGGUUCUGCGUGGGGGACUCGGAGCACGACUGGAGGGAGGGCACCCCGCAGUACAAGUUCAUCGAGGAGUGCCUGUCGACGGUGGACCGGAAGCACCAGCCGUGGCUCAUCUUCACGGCGCACCGGGUGCUGGGCUACUCCUCCAACUCGUGGUACGCCGACCAGGGCUCCUUCGAGGAGCCCGAGGGACGGGAGAGCCUGCAGAAGCUGUGGCAGCGCUACCGCGUCGACAUCGCCUACUUCGGCCACGUCCACAACUACGAGCGCACAUGCCCGCUCUACCAGAGCCAGUGCGUCAACGCCGACAAGACCCACUACUCGGGCACCAUGAACGGCACCAUCUUCGUCGUCGCCGGCGGCGGCGGCAGCCACCUGUCGUCCUACACCACCGCCAUCCCCAAGUGGAGCAUAUUCAGGGACCAUGACUACGGGUUCACCAAGCUCACCGCAUUCAACCACUCCUCGCUUCUCUUCGAGUACAUGAAGAGCAGCGACGGCAAGGUCUACGACUCCUUCACCAUC
rnacentral:lncRNA from 1 species